CCUACGGGAGGCAGCAGUGGGGAAUAUUGCGCAAUGGGCGAAAGCCUGACGCAGCGACGCCGCGUGAGGGAUGAAGGUCUUCGGAUUGGAAACCUCUGUCAGCAGGGAAGAACGGUGAGUGUGCUAAUCAGCAGUGAAUUGACGGUACCUGCAAAGGAAGCACCGGCUAACUCCGUCCGAGCAGCCGCGGUAAUACGGAGGGUGCGAGCGUUAUGCGGAAUUACUGGGCGUAAAGCGCUCGUAGGCGGUAUGUCAAGUCAAGGGUGAAAUCCCCGGGCUCAACGUGGGAACUGCCUUUGAAACUGGCAAACUGGAGUGUGUUAGAGGAUAGUGGAAUUCCUGGUGUAGGAGUGAAAUCCGUAGAUAUCUGGAGGAACACCAGUGGCGAAGGUGACUAUCUGGCCCAUAACUGACGCUGAGGAGCGAAAGCGUGGGUAGCAAACAGGAUUAGAUACCCUUGUAGUC
rnacentral:rRNA from 1 species